rnacentral:rRNA from 1 species
AUUGAACGCUGGCGGCAGGCCUAACACAUGCAAGUCGAGCGGAUGAAGGGAGCUUGCUCCUGGAUUCAGCGGCGGACGGGUGAGUAAUGCCUAGGAAUCUGCCUGGUAGUGGGGGAUAACGUCCGGAAACGGGCGCUAAUACCGCAUACGUCCUGAGGGAGAAAGUGGGGGAUCUUCGGACCUCACGCUAUCAGAUGAGCCUAGGUCGGAUUAGCUAGUUGGUGGGGUAAAGGCCUACCAAGGCGACGAUCCGUAACUGGUCUGAGAGGAUGAUCAGUCAACCUGGAACUGAGACCCGGCCCAGCCCCCUCCGGGAGGCAGCCGGGGGGAAUUUUGGACAAUGGGCGAAAGCCUUACCCCGCCAUGCCGCGUGUGUGAAGAAGGUUUUCGGUUUUUAAAGCCCUUUAAGUUGGGAGGAAGGGAAGUAAGUUAAUCCCUUGCUUUUUUGCCUUUCCCAACAGAAUAAGCCCCGGCUAACUUCGU